GUACUCGCUUCAGUAGCAUGUAUACUAAAAUUGGAACAAUACAGAUAUGAUUAGCAUGGCUCCUGCAGGUGGAUGACAUGCAAAUUCGUGAAGCAUUCCUUAUUUUA
rfam:Canis lupus familiaris chromosome X, whole genome shotgun sequence.